UGGGAACACCAGAUUUGAAGGAGGCCUGAGUUCUCGAUGGUCAAAUUCUAUUAGGAUGUAGGUAUAUGAGUUUUUAAUAUGUAUUUUUAAUAUUUAUGACUACAUGUAAUUUGAUACAUUUAUUUUAAUCUAUAUUAAACAUUUAGAUAUCAAAUAGAUGUAAUAUUUCCAGAUAUUAGCAAAGCUCCCAAAGGGUUAUGAAAUUUUUUACAGAGCGAACUUGAUCAAAUGGAGGAUGAACAUGUAUAAAAUCAUAAUAUCUAGUUAUAUUCAAGCAUUAUAUCAUAUGUUACUAAUAUGUAAAUUUUCGUAAUGUUCUUUAUAGGUCAAGUGGAUGCCCUAUGAACUGGUUUUAGCUUCACUACCGGAUAUUUGUAGAGAUGGUGAAAAUAUAUGGCGUGCCCGAGUCCCGAUUAUAUGCUUUGAGUUUGUCAAAAUACAUGUGCCCAAUCGCGUGCUUCGACAAUUUGGAUUAAAAUAACAUAUUCCAUAUCCUGUAGAAAGAAUAGAGCGAAAUCCCCAAAAAGGAGCACAUCGUCAAAAUUGGGAGAUAAUUCGUCAAUCUUAUAUUAAGAAUUGGGAGUUGAGAGAGGAUGUUGUAGUGAUGGAGAAAGGUGACGCACCAGAACUAGAUGUGUACUUACGUUUGUAUUGGGGGAUUACUAGCCGAUGGAUAUAUCGAGAGAACAAAGCACCUAAGGCGUAUAUACCGAGGGGACCAAUUGAGUGAGAGUAGAAGACUCGUUAAGGUUGUUUCUAUUGUCCAUGAUGCAUUGAGAUCGACUACCGAGCAAGGGGCAAGGAAUGCAUUUAUUCGCAUCAUAGUAAAGAUUCAAUCUGCUCUUAGAAAGACACUUCACGCAAAUCGUGAUGGACGUCAAGAAGAACUCAUAGGGUACGAGCGUCAACGGUUGCGAGGACACACCAGGACGGGCUCAAGUCGUGCACAUGACGAACUCGGAUGUUCACAGCAGGUUCAAGACGGAUGUUCACAGCAGGUUCAAGCCGGAUGUUCACAGUAAGUUUAAGUCGAGGAGAAUGUCACGCGCUCACAAAUUCACACACAACCAGAUGAUGAGAUCAUCCAAGCUCGUGUUGAAGGUGAACGUGGACGAUGGAGAGGAAGAAGAGAGAAAGUGAGAGGAAAGAGAGUUCUAUAUGUUUGCUAAUUUUCGAUAUUGCUUGUUUUAUGAUGUUUAUGUUUGAAAUGCUAGUUGGACUAAGUGUUUAUGAUUGAAAUUUUACUAA